rnacentral:rRNA from 1 species
UCAGACGAUGCGUCAUGCAUAUCAAUAAGCGGAGGAAAAGAAACUAACAAGGAUUCCCUUAGUAACGGCGAGUGAAGCGGGAAGAGCUCAAAUUUGAAAUCUUCAAGGUUUUACCUUGACGAAUUGUAGUUUAAAGAAGUGUUUUCUGUUGAAGUUUUGGUAAAAGUUCUUUGGAAUAGGACAUCAUAGAGGGUGAGAAUCCCGUAUUUGACCAUUAUUUUCAGCUGUGUGAUACACUUUCAAAGAGUCGGAUUGUUUGGGAAUGCAGUCCAAAAUGGGUGGUAAAUUUCAUCUAAAGCUAAAUAUUGGCGAGAGACCGAUAGCGAACAAGUACCGUGAGGGAAAGAUGAAAAGAACUUUGAAAAGAGAGUUAAACAGUACGUGAAAUUGUCAAAAGGGAAGCGUUUGACACCAGUGUUGUUUUCUCGAAAAUCAAUUAAAAAUGAGUUAGAUUUUGUAUGUGUAUUGACCUUAACAGCUUCACUGUGCAUUUUUCGUGUCUUUUUUAAUGCACUUUUCGUUUAACAAGUCAACAUCAGUUUCUUUUGUUGUAAAGGAGGUCACUGGAAGGUGGCUUUCUUUUCGGAGAAAGUGUUUAUAGCCUUUGACUCCUGCAAUCGGAGAGACUGAGGUCUGCAGCGUAGAUCCUUCGGGGUUAGAUACAUUUGUGCUAAGUUAUAGCUUUUUAUAGACAACUUGUUGACUAUGAUUAGUCUUGUAGCUUACUCGCUUAUGCUAUUUUACCUACGCUUAGGAUGUUGAGUCGUAGAGCACGCAG